rnacentral:rRNA from 1 species
AGAACGAACGCUGGCGGCAUGCCUAACACAUGCAAGUCGAACGAGACCUUCGGGUCUAGUGGCGCACGGGUGCGUAACGCGUGGGAAUCUGCCCUUGGGUUCGGGAUAACAGUUGGAAACGACUGCUAAUACCGGAUGAUGACUUCGGUCCAAAGAUUUAUCGCCCAGGGAUGAGCCCGCGUAAGAUUAGCUAGUUGGUGGGGUAAAGGCCUACCAAGGCAACGAUCUUUAGCUGGUCUGAGAGGAUGAUCAGCCACACUGGGACUGAGACACGGCCCAGACUCCUACGGGAGGCAGCAGUGGGGAAUAUUGGACAAUGGGCGAAAGCCUGAUCCAGCAAUGCCGCGUGAGUGAUGAAGGCCUUAGGGUUGUAAAGUCCUUUUAACGGGAAGAUAAUGACGGUACCCGUAGAAUAAGCCCGGCUAACUUCGUGCCAGCAGCCGC